rnacentral:rRNA from 1 species
GACAGAGGUGCCAAGCGUUAGGCGGAAUCACUGGGCUUAAAGCGUGUGUAGGCGGGCGAUCAAGUACCUUGUGAAAUCUCCCGGCUCAACCGGGAGGGUGCGCCGAAUACUGAGUGACUAGAGUGCGGGAGAGGAAAGUGGAAUUCCUGGUGUAGCGGUGAAAUGCGUAGAUAUCAGGAGGAACACCGGUGGUGUAGACGGCUUUCUGGACCGUAACUGACGCUGAGACACGAAAGCGUGGGUAGCAAACAGG